rnacentral:rRNA from 1 species
AUUGAACGCUGGCGGCGGGCCUAACACAUGCAAGUCGAGCGGAUGAAGGGAGCUUGCUCCUGGAUUCAGCGGCGGACGGGUGAGUAAUGCCUAGGAAUCUGCCUGGUAGUGGGGGAUAACGUCCGGAAACGGGCGCUAAUACCGCAUACGUCCUGAGGGAGAAAGUCGGGGAUCUUCGGACCUCACGCUAUCAGAUGAGCCUAGGUCGGAUUAGCUAGUUGGUGGGGUAAAGGCCUACCAAGGCGACGAUCCGUAACUGGUCUGAGAGGAUGAUCAGUCACACUGGAACUGAGACACGGUCCAGACUCCUACGGGAGGCAGCAGUGGGGAAUAUUGGACAAUGGGCGAAAGCCUGAUCCAGCCAUGCCGCGUGUGUGAAGAAGGUCUUCGGAUUGUAAAGCACUUUAAGUUGGGAGGAAGGGCAGUAAGUUAAUACCUUGCUGUUUUGACGUUACCAACAGAAUAAGCACCGGCUAACUUCGUG